UCACUGUAUCUGCUCCAGGACUGUGUGUUCAUCACUCAGGGGAGGAGCUAUCAUAAUAGGGCGGAGUCAUCACCAGUCGUGGGCAGGGCCUGAUCUAACGUGACGUCACUUUACAGCAGAAAGGAAAAGCGUUCAUUCUGACACACUGUUUAUGAUGAAUAGAAAUAUAAGAAAGACUUUUAUCAUUAUAGGGAGGUUGUGUACACACACACACACUCUCUCUCGCACACACACUCGCAUGCGCACACACUCUCUCUCGCACACACUCUCUCUCGCACACACACUCGCAUGCGCACACACUCUCUCUCGCACACACUCAAUGAACAAUAUAUUUUCUUACAGUUAUUAAUCAUUGUUCAUAGUGCAUUCAGUAAUGUUAACAAAUGCAACUUUUGAUUUAAAAAUCUAUUAGUAUGUCCAAAUUAACAUUAAUCAAGAUUUAUAAACGCUGUUCAUUGUUAUGUCGUUAACUAAAGAUAGAAAAAUAUAUAUUUUUCACAUUGUAUUAAUAGGAAUGUUUCGUGUAGUUUGUUCCGCAGGGCUUUGAAACGGGCUUCAUGACUCAGUAAAAUACAUUUAUUGUUCCUCUUGAUAUUGGGGUGAAAUAUGAGCUGGACCGUCCCGACAGGUCUGGACUGGUCUGAUGCUGCAUACACCGCACUAUGACAGAAGCUUCUCGUUUCAGUUGUCAAUACUGAACAUUUGUAAUGAGGUUGUGAAAGCUCUUAAAAUCAUAUUAUGUUGUCUUGUUAGGAAGAUGCAUUUCCAUCUGCAGAGCGCUUGUCCUUCUCAGAUGACAGGUCAAUACUGCAGCACAAGAGCUGUGAACGGACCAUUCGCAACAUCUCUCCGAGUCGUCAUUACGACGUGUUGUAGUCUGAGAGCGACUGAUAUCACAUUACUUUUGUCUUAGAUCUCAUUAAAUAUGUUUUGAUGCGUCAUGUCUGUUCACUGUAAAAACCUCAUAACAGUAAAUGACCUGCGAGUGUGUUUCCUAAAAUACUUGUUUCUAAAAAGAAUUGUUAGAAUGAACCAGAUCAAGAGAAAGAUUCGUUCAUGAGUCGACAUUAUUCUUUUUCUUCCUACUCCACAAUUCCCAAUGCGCUCUAAGUCCUCGUGGUGGCGUAGCAACUCAAUCCGGGUGGCGGAGGACGAAUCUCAGUUGCCUCCGCGUCUGAGACCGUCAAUCCGCGCAUCUUAUCACGCGACUUGUUGAGCGUGUUACCGUGGAGACGUAGCGCAUGUGGAGGCUUCACGCUAUUCUCCACGGCAUCCACGCACAACUCACCACACGCCCCACCGAGAGCGAGAACCACAUUAUAGUGACCACGAGGAGGUUACCCCAUGUGACUCUACCCUCCCUAGCAACCGGUCCAAUUUGGUUACCCCAUGUGACUCUACACUCCCUAGCAACCGGCCAAUUUGGUUACCCCAUGUGACUCUACACUCCCUAGCAACCGGGCCAAUUUGGUUACCCCAUGUGACUCUACACUCCCUAGCAACCGGGCCAAUUUGGUUACCCCAUGUGACUCUACCCUCCCUAGCAACCGGGCCAAUUUGAUUACCCCAUGUGACUCUACCCUCCCUAGCAACCGGGCCAAUUUGGUUACCCCAUGUGACUCUACCCUCCCUAGCAACCGGGCCAAUUUGGUUACCCCAUGUGACUCUACCCUCCCUAGCAACCGGGCCAAUUUGGUUACCCCAUGUGACUCUACCCUCCCUAGCAACCGGCCCAAUUUGUUUACCCCAUGUGACUCUACCCUCCCUAGCAACCGGGCCAAUUUGGUUACCCUAUGUGACUCUACCCUCCCUAGCAACCGGGACAAUUUGGUUACCCCAUGUGACUUUACCCUCCCUAGCAACCGGGCCAAUUUGGUUACCCCAUGUGACUCUACCCUCCCUAGCAACCGGGCCAAUUUGGUUACCCCAUGUGACUCUACCCUCCCUAGCAACCGGCCCAAUUUGUUUACCCCAUGUGACUCUACCCUCCCUAGCAACCGGCCCAAUUUGGUUACCCCAUGUGACUCUACCCUCCCUAGCAACCGGGCCAAUUUGGUUACCCCAUGUGACUCUACCCACCCUAGCAACCGGGCCAAUUUGGUUACCCCAUGUGACUCUACCCUCCCUAGCAACCGGGACAAUUUGGUUACCCCAUGUGACUCUACCCUCCGUAGCAACUGGGACAAUUUGGUUACCCCAUGUGACUAUACCCUCCCUAGCAACCGGCCCAAUUUGGUUGCUAUGGAGACCUGGCUGGAGUCACUCAGCACGCCCUGGAUUCAAACUCGUGACUCCAGGUGUGGAUACUCAGACCCCGAUCCUGCCAAUUAUUAAAUAAUGCUUUUUAAUUUGCUGAUAAAUAAGAACAGACUAGUAUGAAUUAUUGCGCUAGUCCGACUGAACUCUUGAAAGUGUUGAAGCCACAGACAUGUAGUCUACCCUGUUUUGAAAGAGAAAUGCGUGAAAUUUUGGGAAACUUUCUCAGAGAAGGGGCACGUUCUGAUUGACCCACUGAUCGUUUAGUACAUUAGCAUUUAUAAUUAGCGCUACAAUAAAAUGGGUAUAGCUGUAAUGUACAAUUUAAGGACACUAUGGUGCAUUUCAGAUUAUUUUAAUAACUAAUAAAAAAUCUGUUUUUUUUGUACAGCUGAUAAAUGCUUUCUGAUGAAGUAUGUUCAGCCCUCAUUUGGAGCUGUAGGUCAAUAGGUCAUAUUAUCUGUGUGUUUACAAGUGCAUGUUUUAUUAAUGUAAAAGCACACACAAUAUUAACAGGAUCAACACACUCCUCACAGUUCUGCUAAACUACAUGUGAAACAUAUAAACAGUGUUUGUGGUUAUUACCUUAUUGUACUUUCACAACUGUAAGACUUGAUGACAAACACUUUCAUACACAAAACAACAUUUUCUUACAAAAGACAAGAAUAAAAAUAUCAGUAAAAGCAACAUGAAGACGUAAAAGUGGCUGCCUGAGUCAGAGAAUGUUCCAGAAUCGAGGGGGUGUUUAAAUAUGUACCAGAAUGAGACUUUUGACUUUAUUUGUAUUUGUUUUGACAGUCGACUGACUCCAAUCUUAAACUGGCUUUCCACGUUUCAAACGAAACCUGUUCUGACUCGAACAUGCUGCAUUUUACCAGCAAAUUACCAGCAAUAAAUCAAUGCUGCAUUAACCGUGGCUGUUACAGAAGCAAACAAUGAAAUUAAAAAACGUUCUUAACCUGACGAUCAUGCCUUAUUUUAUUAGUGGACUAAAAAUAGUGCAGAACGGUAACUUAGCUUUCAAGUUUCUGGGUUUAAUUGGAAAUAAGUGUAUCCCCGAUUUCUAUGUGGCCUCAGACGUUUGGACUCCAGACGUACAUGUGACAUCAAGACGCAGUCAGGAAAUAUUAAAUGACAUUUUCAGAGGGCACCUCGAACACUUAAAGUGGACUUCAGGAGAACGACGUGCUAUUGUGGUGAUGGAUGAUCUGCCACCGAGCGUUUGAGUUCAUUCACAUCUGAUCAAAGUGAGGCGAGACGACAGCUGCCGAUGCUACAGCAGAGAAUCAUCUAUACGCUACCGGAAGAGUCUUUGAAGCUGCGUACACAAGCUGCGUACACACUGCCAGCGACAUCGCACGCGCGACUCCAUCCCAUUCAUUUUCAAUGAGAGCACAGCGACUUCCGGCGACACGAGCUGUCGCGACCGUUGGCGACUAGAUGUGGGCGUGUCCAGCGACGCGACAAAGUUGAGACAAGUUCAACUUUAUUCAAAUGAAGAGCGACUAACGGAAGCGACAGCCAAUAAGAGAGCUCACGUGAUCCCUCUCUCUCUCUCUCUCUCUCUCUCUCUCUCUCUCUCUCUCUCUCUCUCUCUCUCUCUCUCUCUCUCUCUCUCUCUCUCUCUCUCUCUCUCUCUCUCUCUCUCUCUCUCUCUCUCA